GACGAACGCUGGCGGCGUGCUUAACACAUGCAAGUCGAACGAUGAAGAAAAGAAUUGAAGCUUCGGCAGAAAUUCAUUUCGGAUUAGUGGCAGACGGGUGAGUAACGCGUGAGCAACCUACCUCUUACAAAGGGAUAGCCUCGGGAAACCGGGAUUAAUACCAUAUAACAUUGCGACGAAGCAUUUCGAUGCAAUCAAAGCUACGGCGGUAAGAGAUGGGCUCGCGUCCCAUUAACCAGAUGGUGAGGUAACGGCUCACCAUAGUAACGAUGGGUAACCGGCCUGGGAGGGUGAACGGUCACACUGGAACUGAGACAAGGUCCAGAAUCCUACGGGAGGGAGCAGUGGGGAAUAUUGCACGAUGGAGGGAACUCUGAUGCAGCGACGCCGCGUGAGUGAUGAAGGAAUUCGUUUCGUAAAACUCUGUUCUAUGGGAAGAAAAGGACUGUACCAUAGGAGAAAGCUCCGGCUAAAUACGUG
rnacentral:rRNA from 1 species